CAGAUGGGAGCUUGCUCCCUGAUGUUAGCGGCGGACGGGUGAGUAACACGUGGGUAACCUGCCUGUAAGACUGGGAUAACUCCGGGAAACCGGGGCUAAUACCGGAUGUUUGUUUGAACCGCAUGGUUCAGACAUAAAAGGUGGCUUCGGCUACCACUUACAGAUGGACCCGCGGCGCAUUAGCUAGUUGGUGAGGUAACGGCUCACCAAGGCGACGAUGCGUAGCCGACCUGAGAGGGUGAUCGGCCACACUGGGACUGAGACCGGCCCAGACUCCUACGGGAGGCAGCAGUAGGGAAUCUUCCGCAAUGGACGAAAGUCUGACGGAGCAACGCCGCGUGAGUGAUGAAGGUUUUCGGAUCGUAAAGCUCUGUUGUUAGGGAAGAACAAGUGCCGUUCAAAUAGGGCGGCACCUUGACGGUACCUAACCAGAAAGCCACGGCUAACUACGUGCCAGCAGCCGCGGUAAUACGUAGGUGGCAAGCGUUGUCCGGAAUUAUUGGGCGUAAAGGGCUCGCAGGCGGUUUCUUAAGUCUGAUGUGAAAGCCCCCGGCUCAACCGGGGAGGGUCAUUGGAAACUGGGGAACUUGAGUGCAGAAGAGGAGAGUGGAAUUCCACGUGUAGCGGUGAAAUGCGUAGAGAUGUGGAGGAACACCAGUGGCGAAGGCGACUCUCUGGUCUGUAACUGACGCUGAGGAGCGAAAGCGUGGGGAGCGAACAGGAUUAGAUACCCUGGUAGUCCACGCCGUAAACGAUGAGUGCUAAGUGUUAGGGGGUUUCCGCCCCUUAGUGCUGCAGCUAACGCAUUAAGCACUCCGCCUGGGGAGUACGGUCGCAAGACUGAAACUCAAAGGAAUUGACGGGGGCCCGCACAAGCGGUGGAGCAUGUGGUUUAAUUCGAAGCAACGCGAAGAACCUUACCAGGUCUUGACAUCCUCUGACAAUCCUAGAGAUAGGACGUCCCUUCGGGGCAGAGUGACAGGUGGUGCAUGGUUGUCGUCAGCUCGUGUCGUGAGAUGUUGGUUAAGUCCCGCAACGAGCGCAACCCUUGAUCUUAGUUGCCAGCAUUCAGUUGGGCACUCUAAGGUGACUGCCGGUGACAAACCGGAGGAAGGUGGGGAUGACGUCAAAUCAUCAUGCCCCUUAUGACCUGGGCUACACACGUGCUACAAUGGACAGAACAAAGGGCAGCGAAAC
rnacentral:rRNA from 1 species